CUCUCCAAGAUUGAUUAAAUAAAAAGUGACACAAUCAUAUAGCAGAGGGGAGGAGAAGGAACGGAGAUAGAGAGACGAUUAGAGGAAUUUUAGGGAGAGUCACGGACAAAACCGUGUGAGUCGCCACAGCUCACCAGUUUUCAUACCUGUGAAACUCCAUUGCUAUAGACAAUUGAGCUCAUCUCAAAACCAAUAUCUUCGUCACUCAAAACAGCCACCAAACUCCAGAACAAAAAUAGAGUAAAAAAUGCCUAAAAUGCACCAAAAAUGCAGCCAUUAAAGUGCUGCAAAUCUUCACCUUUUAGCAGCCCGUUUUUAUCCAAAAGCAUCCCCUUAAAACUCCAUUAAAACCAACCAAAUAAAGCUCCAAAAAUUCAGGAAAAAACCGCUGCAAUCAGCACAAAAAAUAAGCCAUAAAACAUCAUAAAAAUCAAUUCCAAAACCCAAAAGAUCUCAGCCAUGGGCGCCGCCUUAAAGAUCGAAAACCCCACUUUUGAUUCUAGUUUCUAGCUUAUGGAUACUAUAGCAGUCGUUGGUCUUGCGGCGCCGAUUGAAAUGCCAUUCGAGCUCCGGUUGAUGGCCCUGUUCGCGGUCAAGUUUUGGGUGAUUCAUCGGAUUUUGUUUCAAUACCAUAGCAACAAACUAUAGCUGUUCGGGUCAUUUUAUUGGAGGUGAUCCAAAUGCAGAUUGCAAUUAUAAAGACCCAGGUAUUAUUCGUUUGUAGCUGCGCGGGCCGCUGCUGAGGAGACUCAAGGUAAACCUGUUGCUGCGUUCGCACGCUUCGAAAUCACCUUCUUAAUUUAUAUUCACACUAUUGUACUUAUUUCCAUACAAUUGUGUUUAGAAGUUUUAGCGAAACUCUGUAGAGCUUAUGACUUGUACUACCGGGUUUGGGGAAUAUGUUAUUUGUAUAAAGAUUUCAUUUUAGAAGAAUGUUAGAUGUUAAUUAUUGUUA